rnacentral:tRNA from 1 species
GGCUUGAUGGCGAAAUUGGUAUACGCAGCAGACUUAAAAUCUGCCGUUCCGAAAGGAACUUGGGGGUUCGAGUCCCCUUUGAGCCAC